GUCUAUGUCCAUACCACGCUGAAUGCGCCCUGUCUCUUCUGAUCUCAGAAGCUAAGCAGAGUUGGGCCUAGUUAGUACUUGGAGAAAUAAUAU
ensembl:rRNA 5S_rRNA 5S ribosomal RNA